CCAAGGCAAACUGCAGCAGUGAGGGUGGUCAAAUGCUGGUAUUGCCUCCCAGAGGGAUAAGGCAGUGGGCAGAGCCUGCCCAGCACUCGAGAGGGCAGGAAGAUGCUGUGGUCAUUAGAGGCUGCAAUCAGGAGCUAUACAAGAAGCUCAAUCUGGCAGCAAGAAAUCACCCUCAGCGUGGGAGGUCCCUCAGUCCCUACAUCCCCUGCAUGGUUUGGAUCCAAGUGGAGAGGAGCCGGCCAGAGCAGCCCCAUUUCCCUGGUACAUCCUCUCCCACUUCUCCUGCAGGAGAGCGCUGCCUUCUCACUGGAGCAGCAGUUGCCAGCUAUUUGCUCCCACAAGCAGCAGGCAGAACCCUGGAUGGGGACCCCUCUAUGCUUAUCCCUGGCUUCAUGGACCCCCUGUCUGAUCAGCUCAGAGGUUUGUCC